GUGCCUGUAGCUCAGAAGGAUAGAGCGUUGGACUCCGGAUCCGAAGGUCGGCGGUUCGAAUCCGCCCAGGCAUA
rnacentral:tRNA from 1 species